rnacentral:tRNA from 1 species
GCCCGGGUGGUGAAAUUGGUAGACACAGGAGACUUAAAAUCUCCCGCUGCUAACGCGGCGUACCGGUUCGAUUCCGGUCCCGGGCACCA